GCUGGGGUAGCUCAGUUGGUAGAGCACGGCCCUGAAAAGGCCGGUGUCGGCAGUUCGAUUCUGCCCCCCAGCACCA
rnacentral:tRNA from 1 species